AUUCAUCUGACGAGUCUCAAACAGGACGAAGCGUACGUCCUGAAU
rnacentral:hammerhead_ribozyme from 1 species